UCGCAUAUGCAUGUACAAAUGCAGAGACAAGUUGCAUGUAUAUACAUUCAUGGCGCCAAAUAUACAUACAAACAACAAAUUAUUACAUGUGUAGUAAUACAUAUAGGCAAUUAAAUAAAUUACAUGAUUUAAGCACAAAUAUUCCUGUACGUAUAUAUAUACGCAGUUGGCUGUGACAGUACAAUUGUGUAACCAUCUUUGCAGGCAGCACACCACAUGCACACAAGCAAACGCCGGCCGGAUUAAACGUGUCGGCGUCGUG
rnacentral:lncRNA from 1 species